rnacentral:rRNA from 1 species
UACGAAGGGGGCUAGCGUUGUUCGGAAUUACUGGGCGUAAAGCGCACGUAGGCGGAUCGUUCAGUCGGGGGUGAAAUCCCAGAGCUCAACUCUGGAACUGCCUUUGAUACUGUCGAUCUAGAGUAUGGAAGAGGUGAGUGGAAUUCCGAGUGUAGAGGUGAAAUUCGUAGAUAUUCGGAGGAACACCAGUGGCGAAGGCGGCUCGCUGGGCCAUUACUGACGCUGAGGUGCGAAAGCGUGGGGAGCAAACAGG